UAUUAUUGUUUUUCCAUAUAUAGAUGCUGAAUUAAUUUCGAUUUAUUCUGAAUGAGUUUUUUUUUUGAGCAGUCUGUAAUCAAUAUCAUCUUUCUUUCUUUUUCUGAUGAGCUAGGUGGGAGGUUUCACUCCUUAGAACUAAAUUUUCUAUAUAUAGGAUCCUUAAAUUUAUGGAAUUUGCACUGUUGGGAAGUGAUUCGCCAGUUUCACUUAUUGAGUUCUCAUGAAAGAUAGGUUUCAUUAGUUUUGGGGACCCUUAUAGGUUGUUCCACAGAUUAGAUGAUCCAUCUAAAAUGAAAAUUCAACCUAGAGAUGAAGCUCGAGCUGGUAGAUCGAGAAGUCGAGGGGAAAUAGAAACUAAGGAUGAAAGCACAUGGGUGGAGGAAGAGAUGUUAGGUUACAGGAAGUAUAUCGAAAUGGCAAAUCAGGCUGAUCUGUUCUCUUUUCCUAGGCCUGAACAGGGUGAAUAACUGAUAUAUGGAACGUUAGUUCUGAAUCCUGGUUGGAAAAAUAUGUUUGUAAUUAUUUAAGUUUGCAAUUAUAGUUUCAAUAAAGAAAAAAAAAAGUUACUGUUGUUUGAA